ACCGGGAUUACCCUAGUAACGGCGAGUGAAGCGGUAAGAGCUCAAAUUUGAAAGCUGGCCCCUUCGGGGUCCGCAUUGUAAUUUGCAGAGGAUGCUUCGGGAGCGGUCCCCAUCUAAGUGCCCUGGAACGGGCCGUCAUAGAGGGUGAGAAUCCCGUAUGGGAUGGGGUGCCCGCGCCCGUGUGAAGCUCCUUCGACGAGUCGAGUUGUUUGGGAAUGCAGCUCUAAUUGGGUGGUAAAUUUCAUCUAAAGCUAAAUAUUGGCCGGAGACCGAUAGCGCACAAGUAGAGUGAUCGAAAGAUGAAAAGCACUUUGAAAAGAGAGUUAAACAGCACGUGAAAUUGUUGAAAGGGAAGCGCUUGCGAUCAGACUCGCUCGCGGGGUUCAGCCGGCCUUCGGGCCGGUGUACUUCCCCGCGGGCGGGCCAGCGUCGGUUUGGGCGGCCGGUCAAAGGCCCCUGGAAUGUAACGCCUCUCGGGGCGUCUUAUAGCCAGGGGUGCCAUGCGGCCUGCCCGGACCGAGGAACGCGCUUCGGCUCGGACGCUGGCAUAAUGGUCGUAAGCGACCCGUCUUGAAACACGGACCAAGGAGUCUAACAUCUACGCGAGUGUUCGGGUGUCAAACCCGUGCGCGCAGUGAAAGCGAACGGAGGUGGGAACCCCUCGGGGUGCACCAUCGACCGAUCCUGAUGUCUUCGGAUGGAUUUGAGUAAGAGCGUAGCUGUUGGGACCCGAAAGAUGGUGAACUAUGCCUGAAUAGGGCGAAGCCAGAGGAAACUCUGGUGGAGGCUCGCAGCGGUUCUGACGUGCAAAUCGAUCGUCAAAUUUGGGUAUAGGGGCGAAAGACUAAUCGA
rnacentral:rRNA from 1 species